rnacentral:rRNA from 1 species
GUUUGAUCCUGGCUCAGAAUGAACGCUGGCGGCGUGCCUAACACAUGCAAGUCGAGCGAGAAAGUCUCUUCGGAGAUGAGUACAGCGGCGGACGGGUGAGUAACGCGUGAGAAUUUACCCUUUAGUGAGGAAUAACUUUGAGAAAUUGAAGGUAAUACCGCAUAAGCCCCAAGGGGGAAAGGUGGCCUCUUGCUGCCGCUAAAGGAUAAGCUUGCGUACUAUUAGCUAGUUGGUAGGGUAAAGGCCUACCAAGGCGAUGAUGGUUAGCCGGCCUGAGAGGGUGUUCGGCCACAUUGGAACUUAGACACGGUCCAAACUCCUACGGGAGGCAGCAGUGAGGAAUAUUGCACAAUGGGCGAAAGCCUGAUGCAGCGACGCCGCGUGGAGGAUGAAGGUCUUCGGAUUGUAAACUCCUGUUAAGCGGGAAGAAAAUAAUGUUUCUAAUAAAAACGUUAAAUGACGGUACCGCUAGAGAAAGCACCGGCUAACUUCGUGCCAGCAGCCGCGGUAAUACGAGGGGUGCUAGCGUUAUUCGGAAUUACUGGGCGUAAAGGGUAUGUAGGCGGUUUAUUAAGUCUGUUGUUAAAUUUUCCAGCCUAACUGGAAGUCGGCGAUAGAAACUGGUUUACUAGAGUAUGGGAGAGAGAGGUGGAAUUCUCGGAGUAGCGGUAAAAUGCGUAGAUCUCGAGAGGAACACCGAUGGCGAAGGCAGCCUCUUGGCCCAUUACUGACGCUGAGAUACGAAAGCGUGGGGAGCAAACAGGAUUAGAUACCCUGGUAGUCCACGCUGUAAACGAUGAUCACUAGAUGUCGGUUUCGCAUUGCGAGAUCGGUGUCGUAGCUAACGCGUUAAGUGAUCCGCCUGGGGACUACGAUCGCAAGAUUAAAACUCAAAGAAAUUGACGGGGGUCCGCACAAGCGGUGGAACAUGUGGUUUAAUUCGAUAUUACGCGAGGAACCUUACCUAGGCUUGACAUGUUUUUGACAGCUGUGGAAACACAGUCUUCCGAGCUUGCUCGGACAAUUGCACAGGUGCUGCAUGGUUGUCGUCAGCUCGUGUCGUGAGAUGUUUGGUUAAGUCCUCUAACGAGCGCAACUCUUGUCGUCAGUUGCUAUCGCUUCGGCGAGCACUCUGGCGAGACUGCCCGGGAAACCGGGAGGAAGGUGGGAAUGACGUCAAAUCAUCAUGGUCCUUAUGCCUAGGGCUACACACGUGUUACAAUGGCCAGUACAGAGGGUUGCUAUCCCGCGAGGGUGUGCUAAUCUCGUAAAGCUGGUCUAAGUUCGGAUUGAGGUCUGCAACUCGACCUCAUGAAGUUGGAAUCGCUAGUAAUCGCGUAUCAGAUAUGACGCGGUGAAUACGUUCUCGGACCUUGUACACACCGCCCGUCAUACCAUGAAAGCUGUUUGUACCCAAAGUUGUCUUAGCUAACCGUUAAGGAGGCGGACACCUAAGGUAUGGGUGGUGAUUGGGGUAAAGUCGUAACAAGGUAGCUGUAGGAGAACCUGCGGCUG